UGGGCAGGUUGAAGGUUGGGUAACACUAACUGGAGGACCGAACCGACUAAUGUUGAAAAAUUAGCGGAUGACCUGUGGCUGGGGGUGAAAGGCCAAUCAAACCGGGAGAUAGCUGGUUCUCCCCGAAAGCUAUUUAGGUAGCGCCUCGUGAAUUCAUCUCCGGGGGUAGAGCACUGUUUCGGCUAGGGGGCCAUCCCGGCUUACCAACCCGAUGCAAACUGCGAAUACCGGAGAAUGUUAUCACGGGAGACACACGGCGGGUGCUAACGUCCGUCGUGAAGAGGGAAACAACCCAGACCGCCAGCUAAGGUCCCAAAGUCAUGGUUAAGUGGGAAACGAUGUGGGAAGGCCCAGACAGCCAGGAUGUUGGCUUAGAAGCAGCCAUCAUUUAAAGAAAGCGUAAUAGCUCACUGGUCGAGUCGGCCUGCGCGGAAGAUGUAACGGGGCUAAACCAUGCACCGAAGCUGCGGCAGCGACACUGUGUGUUGUUGGGUAGGGGAGCGUUCUGUAAGCCUGCGAAGGUGGCCUGUGAGGGUUGCUGGAGGUAUCAGAAGUGCGAAUGCUGACAUAAGUAACGAUAAAGCGGGUGAAAAGCCCGCUCGCCGGAAGACCAAGGGUUCCUGUCCAACGUUAAUCGGGGCAGGGUG
rnacentral:rRNA from 1 species